UACAGAGGGUGCGAGCGUUAAUCGGAAUUACUGGGCGUAAAGCGCACGUAGGUGGCGACGUAAGUCGGGUGUGAAAGCCCCGGGCUCAACCUGGGAAUUGCAUUCGAGACUGCAUUGCUGGAGUACGGAAGAGGAAGGCGGAAUUCCCGGUGUAGCGGUGAAAUGCGUAGAUAUUGGGAGGAACAUCAGUGGCGAAGGCGGCCUUCUGGUCCAGUACUGACACUCAAGUGCGAAAGCGUGGGGAGCAAACAGG
rnacentral:rRNA from 1 species